GACGUAGGGUGCAAGCGUUGUCCGGAUUUACUGGGCGUAAAGCGCGCGUAGGCGGCUCGUUAAGUGUGAAGUGAAAUGCCGGGGCUCAACUCCGGAACUGCUUUACAUACUGGCGAGCUUAAGGGAUGCAGAGGUUUGUGGAAUUCCUGGUGUAACGGUGAAAUGUGUUGAUAUCAGGAGGAACACCCAUGGCGAAGGCAG
rnacentral:rRNA from 1 species